rnacentral:tRNA from 1 species
GGGGCUGUAGCUCAGUGGCAGAGCACUUGCCCAGUAUGCAUGAGGCACUGGGUUCAAUCCUCAGCACCA